rnacentral:rRNA from 1 species
UCCUACGGGAGGCAGCAGUAGGGAAUCUUCCGCAAUGGACGAAAGUCUGACGGAGCAACGCCGCGUGAGUGAUGAAGGCUUUCGGGUCGUAAAACUCUGUUGUUAGGGAAGAACAAGUACGAGAGUAACUGCUCGUACCUUGACGGUACCUAACCAGAAAGCCACGGCUAACUACGUG